rnacentral:rRNA from 1 species
UCCGCAGGGGGUAUGUUAAGUCUGAUGUGAAAUCCCGGAGCUCAACUCCGGAACUGCAUUGGAAACUGACGUACUAGAGUGCUGGAGAGGUAAGCGGAAUUCCUGGUGUAGCGGUGGAAUGCGUAGAUAUCAGGAAGAACACCGAGAGCGAAGGCAGCUUACUGGACAGUAACUGACCCUCAGGGACGAAAGCGUGGGUAGCGAACAGGAUUAGAUACCCUGGUAGUCC